GCAUUGGUGGUUCAGUGGUAGAAUUCUCCCCUUCCACGCAGGAGACCUGGGCUCAAUUUCUUGCCAAUGCA
rnacentral:tRNA from 1 species